rnacentral:rRNA from 1 species
AGUGGAUGGGGAACAACCUAGUUGUGCGUGUGUAAAGGUAGUGCCAAGAAAAGCGGUGAUCAUGAUGAAAAUCAAUUCCCGGUACCCGAAACCGACACAGGUGGGCAAGUAGAGAUUACUAAGGGGCGCGAGGUAACUCUCUCCAAGGAACUCGGCAAAAUGACCCCGUAACUUAGGGAGAAGGGGUGCCACCGAGAGGUGGUCGCAGUGAAGAGGCCCAGGCGACUGUUUAGCAAAAACAUAGGUCUCUGCAAACUCGAAAGAGGAGGUAUAGGGGCUGACGCCUGCCCAGUGCCGGAAGGUUAAAGAAGUUGGUCAGUCUUAGGAUGAAGCUAGCGACUGAAGCCCCGGUGAACGGCGGCCGUAACUAUAACGGUCCUAAGGUAGCGAAAUUCCUUGUCGGGUAAGUUCCGACCCGCACGAAAGGCGUAACGAUCUGGGCGCUGUCUCGGAGAGAGGCUCGGCGAAAUAGGAUUGUCUGUGAAGAUACGGACUACCUGCAUUUGGACAGAAAGACCCUAUGAAGCUUUACUAUAGCUUGGAAUUGUGUUCGGGCUUCCUGUGCGCAGGAUAGGUGGGAGGCGUAGAAGGUAUUCUUGUGGGGAUACUGGAGCCAACGGUGAGAUACCACUCUCAGGAGGCUAGAAUUCUAACUUAAUUAAGGACAGUUUCAGGUGGGUAGUUUGACUGGGGCGGUCGCCUCCAAAAAGGUAACGGAGGCGUACAAAGGUUCCCUCAGACUGGUUGGAAAUCAGUCGCAGAGUGCAAAGGCAGAAGGGAGCUUGACUGCGAGAAGUACAGUUCGAGCAGGGUGGAAACACGGUCUUAGUGAUCCGACGGUGCUGUGUGGAAGGGCCGUCGUUCAGCGGAUAAAAGUUACUCUAGGAUAACAGGCUGAUCUCCCCCAAGAGUUCACAUCGACGGGGAGGUUUGGCACCUCGAUGUCGGCUCAUCGCAACCUGGGGCGGAAGUACGUCCCAAGGGUUGGGCUGUUCGCCCAUUAAAGCGGUACGUGAGCUGGGUUCAGAACGUCGUGAGACAGUUCGGUCCAUAUCCGAUGUAGGCGUGAGAAUAUUGAGAGGAGCCUUCCUUAGUACGAGAGGACCGGGAAGGACGCACUGCUGGUGUACCUGUUAUGAUGCCAAUUGUAAACGCAGGGUAGCCAAGUGCGGAGAGGAUAACCGCUGAAAGCAUCUAAGUGGGAAGCCCACCUCAAGAUGAGUAUUCUGGUGUAAGGUCACGGGAAGACGACCCGUAAAUAGGCACGAGGUGGAAGUGCAGAGAUGUAUGAAGCCGAAGUGUACUAAUAGACCGUCGGCUUGACC